rnacentral:rRNA from 1 species
AAGCUGGAAUCGCUAGUAAUCGCGGAUCGGCACGCCGCGGUGAAUACGUUCCCGGGCCUUGUACACACCGCCCGUCACACCAUGAGAGUCUGUAACACCCAAAGCCGGUGGGAUAACCUUUAUAGGAGUCAGCCGUCUAAGGUAGGACAGAUGAUUAGGGUGAAGUCGUAACAAGGUAUC